CCCACUGUCAGGAUGACAAGAGGGAUUAACGGCCCUGGAUGGGUGGUUGGCGGUCGAUCUCAGGCAGAGCCCACCCUGGUCGCUGAGGCAGGCUGUAGUAUCAGAAGACAGGAGGCCAAGUAAGACAGAUGCAGGAGCUACGCGAGAAAGCCCAGUGUGACGCCUCAGUUUCCCCUUCUCAGUCAGUCUGCACAUCAUCCGGUACAUUUUUUCCCAGCCAAAACCCCAGAUGCUCCUCGGUUCUCUGCAGCCUCUCCCCAGGCUCUUCCCUGGUUCUGCCUCCAGGAUGGCAGCGCUGGCUGCACUCUCCGCCUCUGCCUCCCUCAGCAGCCUCCCGACAGACAGCAGAGACCCCGUUAGCAGGCAGAUCAGGCUGCCUGCUCAGCACUUCAGUGGGGCUCAUUUCAUCCGCAGAAUCCCAACUCCCCACCCUGAGCUGUGAUCCAAAGCUGUGGCAUCCCUGCCGUGUGGUGGACACUGCUCCUAAACACUUGGAGGACAAGAGCCAACCGAAGCAGAAGCCAGCCCUGCCUCCUCGAGGGACUCACAUUCUCCCACAGAGGGAAUCUGCAGCCAGCUGACCUUCACUGUGAGCGAACGCAGGACGUAAGGCAACUUGGGGGAGGAAGCGCUCCCUCGCUUGGGCUCAGUUUUGGGGUCUCACUCCAUGGCUGCUUGGCCCCGCUGCUCUGGGUCGGGUGGCCCAGCACCUCAUGGGGGAGUGGGGAAGAGGUCAAGCUGGCAAAGUCCCCCCGAGGCCGAGCCCCAGUGACCCAGCUGCCUCCCCAGGCCCCACCUUCUGAGACCCCCAACAGGCUCGCUGGAGACUGCGCUUCUCACACACGGACUUUAGGGAAGGCCCAGGUGCGCACUGCGGCAGGAGUUGACAUGCAGCACACUUAAGGACAGGCAGAGAGAUGAAGGCAGGAUGCCGACCCUGGGCGCCGCAUGGAGCUGAGAGGAGCUGCAGUGCGGAGAAACGGGGACAGCCCAACGCCUGCAGGCCGGAGGGCAUCCGGGUUCCAGGGACCAGCAAGAGACCACGUGGAAGCAAGGAGCAGCAGCAGAUUCUGAGGGGCGGACUGUGCUCAGGUGGUACUCUUGACAGAGACGGAAA
rnacentral:lncRNA from 1 species